rnacentral:rRNA from 1 species
UACGUAGGCAGCGAGCGUUGUUCGGAGUUACUGGGCGUAAAGGGGUGUGUAGGCGGUUUUCUAAGUUUGGUGUGAAAUCUCCCGCUCAACCGGGGAGGGUGCGCCGAAAACUGGGAGACUAGAGUGCGGGAUGGGAGAGUAGAAUUCCUGGUGUAGCGGUGAAAUGCGUAGAUAUCAGGAAGAAUACCUGUGGCGCAAGCGCCCACCUGGCCGAGACCUGACGCUGAGGCACGAAAGCGUGGGGAGCGAACCGG